UGGAACUAUUCACCUACGGAAGCUCUUUCAGUGUUUCGACUGUUGACUACUGAGUGGACACAACAAUGUUAUUCCAGAAAUAUUCCAAUCAUCGACACUGCUUACUGAAUUGGAAAGUACUUGGAACUAUUCACCUACGGAGUAUUCCCUCAGUGUUUCGGGCUGUUGGCUACAGAAGUGGACACAAUAACGUUAUUCCAGAAAUAUUCCAAAUCAUUGACACUACAUACUGCAUUGGAAAGAUUCGACGAUGUCCAUAUUUUGCUGUUGGAGUAAGUUCCUAAGGUGCGUUGGAGCCCUACCAUCAUCUAGCUUCGGUGGAUGAUGGAACAAUGGAGUGUUACUUUUUAAAAUUUAUUUUUUUGAGUGGGUUUAUUGAACAAAAUUUUGCUUUAAUAAUUUCCAUUUUCUUUUCCAAUAUUUUUAAUUACUCUUAUGCUGCUAUAGUUUAAUACUUUCUUUUUCAUUUAAACUUCUUCGUAGGACAGGUAAUUGUAAUUUUCUCAUUUAAGCUUUUAUAAUUAAUUUGUCGUUCUUCAUUUGGAUUUCUUUUUAAUAGAUUACUUUCACAUGUUUAAUUAUUAGCAAAAUCAUAUAAAUAGUAUAUUGGAACUUCUCAUUCAUAUUACAUUGUUAUUUUUCUUUAGCUUAAUUUUUUAUCUAGUUUGCAUUAUUGUGGCUUAUUAUUUUGUACAGUCAAUUGUGGUAAUUUUUUUUUAAUUUGAUUAAUUUUUUAUUAUACAAUCAUUAGGUAUCUUGCAUUUCUACACUCCAAAUUCCGUUUUUAAAUGUUUUCUUAAGCGUAAGAGUAACUUUUCAAAAAAGAUUAAUGUUUGAGUUUUUCCUUUUAUUUUCAUCAAAUAGUUUACAAAUUAAACGUUAGUUAACAUAACAACAAUAAAUCCACUUUUUCAAUUGUUAAUGUAAACUGUAAUGAAUAUUUAAAAAAAUAAUGAUCUACGUUAUACGUUAUUAAAUUUAGUAGUUAAGAUAAUUUACAGCAAUUACUUGAGAUGUAAUUUAUACUAUUUAUAUAAUUAAUAUUUUAGGAAUUAAUUUAUGAAUACUAGUAAUAUCAUUUAUUUGAACUGUACUUACCAUAUACUUAAGGCUAAAAUUCCAUUAUUUAGUAUUUAUUAACUAUUAAGGAUAUCUUUGUAAAUACCAUGUAGUAAUAAAAAGGGAAAGAAAGGAAAUUCAUUAAGGGGAGAGACUGAGGGAGAAAAAGUAGUCAUUGUGAUUGUGAAGGCUGCAUGAGAUCGAAAAUGAGAAUGGGAAUUUAUUUGUGUAUGAAUGAGAGAGGGUGAGAAAAAAUAAGAAUGCAUUGGGAUAAAGUCACACUCUUGUUCAUCCCCAUGCAUUUUUGUUUUAAAACUUAAACUGCGAAUAAGAAUGGAAAUUUGUGUGUGUAUGAGUAAGGGAAAAUAAGAAUGCAUGAGAAUAAACGGUCACAUUACCGUUCACCCUCAUGCAUUUCUGUUCUCCCAUAAAUGAGUAUGGGUAAAUGUGAUUGAAAAUGGGAAUUUGUGUGUGUAUAAGUGAGUAGAAAAUAAGAAUGAAUUAGGGUAAAUGGCCGCAUUCCCGUUCACCCUCUUACAUUCUUAGUUUCUGCUAUGAGAAAGUGGAUGAACAAAAGUGAGAAUGAGAACGAAUAUGGGAGUUUGUGUAUGCAUGAGGGAUAGGGAAAAUAAGAAUGCAUGAGGGUAAACGGUCGCGUUCCCGUUCAUCGUUGUGCAUUUUUCUUCUUCCCUAUUGUGAAUGAGGGUAAGGAUGAAAGUGAGACUGGUUUUGUGUGUGUAUGUGUACGAGCGAGAGAGAGUGGGGGAAAAUGAGGAUGCAUGAGGGUAAAUUCUAUUUCACCCUCAUGCACUUUUAUUCUCUCCCAUUACGAAUGUCAGGGUGUGAACGAGGGCGUGAAUGUGUGAAAGUGUGUAUGUAUGUAUGACGUGUAUGUAUGAGAGAGAAAGUGGGGGAGAAUGAGAAUGCAUGAGGGUAAACUCCUGUUCACCCUCAUGCAUUUUUAUUCUCUCCCACUACGAAUGAGAGGGUGUGAGCGAGAGAGAGUGGGGGAGAAUAAGAAUGCAUGAGGGUAAACUCUUGUUCACCCUCAUGCACUUUUACUCUCUCCCACUACGAAUGAAAGGGUGUGAACGAGAGUGGGGGAGAAUGAGAAUGCAUGAGGGUAAACUCCUGUUCACCCUCCUGCAUUUUUAUUCUCCCCCACAGCGAAUGAGAGGGUGUGAAU